rnacentral:rRNA from 1 species
UGCGCGACUAGGCGUGUGUGUGUGUCCACGCGUUCGAGCGCAUGGGCCGUUGAGUGUAGGCGAGAUACUAGGAGGGGUGACCGCGUCAGGCGCUGAACUCGGGAUCACGGCGACUGCGUUCGUGCGCGUCGGGCGCGUGAUCCAGGGAGCGCGGGACGUGGGAGGAGUGCGUGGGAGCGUGGCUCGGUGCGUGUGUGCGUGCGGGUAUAAGAGCCAGCCCCUGCUCCCGUUGUAGCUCGCCGGGAUCGAGUUCGUGCUCGAGGAGAAAGAAAAGGCCGUUGGUGCGGCCGGGGGCGCCCGUGCGCCGGCAAAAACCACCUGUGCUUGCUGUCUCCUUCUUCUUCCUCCUUCUUCUCUGUAGGUUCGGGCCACAGCGAGAGAGAGGGAACAGAGAGAGCGAGGAGAGCUAGAGCUAGCUAGGGUUCAGAGGGGUUUUGCGCCAUCACAGG